GUGAAUCAUCAAAUUUUUGAACGCAAAUUGCACUCUCUUCGGAGAGUAUGCGUGUUUGAAGGUCAGUAUCAAUAAAAACCGGUGUGUUGUUUCUUUUUGACGUUACGGUGUUUGUGUCAUCUUAAUAUCUUUUAGGUUUUAAGAGGCUUAAAAUUGUCUUUUUUUGUGCAUUUUAGCUGUACAUAUAUUCUUUUUUUUUUUCUUCUGUCUUAUUGCUCUUAAUCCUAUUAGAUUAGACCAUAUCGUGUGGUUUCGUGUCUAUAAAUUUUUCAUGAUUUGACCUCAACUCAGGUAG
rnacentral:misc_RNA from 1 species